UACGGACACAGCAUGAUGAAACACCGGUUUCCAUACGAUGACCGAAGUUAAGCAAUGUUGAAACUGAUCAGUACCUAGAUGGGUGACCGCUUGGAAAUACCAGGUGCUGUCUG